rnacentral:sRNA from 3 species
AAAAGAACUUUGGAGAGAGAGUCAAACAGUACGUGAAACCGUUGGGAGGGAAACGAACGAGGUUGGUGCAGUGAUUGCGCAGGCUCAGGUUCUGCCGAAGGUGCCGUCAGGGUGACCGAUGUGUCCCCGGGCGUCCGCCGGAGGCAGAGCUGUACUCCUCGCGAGCACGGACCAGCAGCGGUUGGAGUGGAGCCACAAGGCUGACAGAAAGGUAGGUCGGGUCGGGUUCGCUCGCUCGACAACUUACAGACUGGCUGUCCGGCACUCCACUCGGACCGAGGAAAGGGGGCAGCUCUUGCCCGGUAUGGUGCACGCCGUAUGGCGGGGCCUCCCGUCGAGGGCGAGCCGUGCGGGGUUGACUGCAUGCAGUGCUCACCGUCACGGCGGACCCACGGUCGGAGAGUGUCACUUGUGCACCAGUGCUGCUGGUAUUCGGACGGCCUCGUCCGACCCGUCUUG